GGAAAUGACAACAUGGUACACACAGCAUAGACCACCAGCUACUGGCCUCAGGGGGAAAUGACAACAUGGUACACACAGCAUAGACCACCAGCUACUGGCCUCAGGGGGAAAUGACAACAUGGUACACACAGCAUAGACCACCAGCUACUGGCCUCAGGGGAAAUGACAACAUGGUACACACAGCAUAGACCACCAGCUACUGGCCUCAGGGGGAAAUGACAACAUGGUACACACAGCAUAGACCACCAGCUACUGGCCUCAGGGGGAAAUGACAACAUGGUACACACAGCAUAGACCACCAGCUACUGGCCUCAGGGGGAAAUGACAACAUGGUACACACAGCAUAGACCACCAGCUACUGGCCUCAGGGGGAAAUGACAACAUGGUACACACAGCACAGACCACCAGCUACUGGCCUCAGGGGGAAAUGACAAGGUACACACAGCACAGACCACCAGCUACUGGCCUCGGGGGGAAAUGACAAGGUACACACAGCACAGACCACCAGCUACUGGCCUCAGGGGGAAAUGACAAGGUACACACAGCACAGACCACCAGCUACUGGCCUCAGGGGGAAAUGACAAGGUACACACAGCACAGACCACCAGCUACUGGCCUCAGGGGGAAAUGACAAGGUACACACAGCACAGACCACCAGCUACUGGCCUAGGGGAAA